UUCUUCUUCUCAUCCACACUCACACUCACAGCAGCUGACAGUGUGAGGUUGGUGAAUGGUGGAAGUCGCUGUGCUGGGAGAGUGGAGGUUCUUCAUGAAGGACAGUGGGGAACAGUGUGUCAUGGUAACUGGGAUAUGAGAGAAGCUGCAGUGGUGUGUAGAGAACUGCACUGUGGAGAAGCUGUAGAUGUACGUUAUCCAGCUCACUUUGGAGAAGGAUCAGGACCAAUCUGGAUGUUUGAUGUGGGCUGUAGUGGAUCAGAGUCGACACUGAAGAACUGUAGUGCAGCAGAUUGGGGAGUGAAUUCCUGUAAGCAUGGUGGUGAUGCUGGAGUCACCUGCUCAGGGAAUGAAACUGAGAAUAAUGAAGGCUCUAUUCCAGCUGAUCAGAAGACAGUUAUAAGAACAGGUAUGAUAAUAAUAGACAAUCAUUUC